rnacentral:rRNA from 1 species
AAGAUAAGCCAUGCAUGUCUAAGUAUAAGCAAUUAUACAGCGAAACUGCGAAUGGCUCAUUAUAUAAGUUAUCGUUUAUUUGAUAGUGCCUUACUACUUGGAUAACCGUGGUAAUUCUAGAGCUAAUACAUGCUGAAAGCCCCGACUCACGGAGGGGCGUAUUUAUUAGAUUAAAAACCAAUGCCCUUCGGGGCUCCUUGGUGAUUCAUGAUAACUUCUCGAAUCGCACGGCCUUGCGCCGGCGAUGGUUCAUUCAAAUUUCUUCCCUAUCAACUUUCGAUGUUUGGGUAGUGGCCAAACAUGGUGGCAACGGGUAACGGAGGGUUAGGGCUCGACCCCGGAGAAGGAGCCUGAGAAACGGCUCCUACAUCCAAGGAAGGCAGCAGGCGCGCAAAUUACCCAAUCCCGACUCGGGGAGGUAGUGACAAUAAAUACUGAUGCAGGGCUCUUUAGGGUCUUGCAAUUGGAAUGAGUACAAUUUAAAUCCCUUAACGAGGAACAAUUGGAGGGCAAGUCUGGUGCCAGCAGCCGCGGUAACUCCAGCUCCAAUAGCGUAUAUUAAAGUUGUUGUGGUUAAAAAGCUCGUAGUUGAACCUUGGGCCUGGCCGUCCGGUCCGCCUCACCGCGUGCACUGGCACGGCCGGGCCUUCCCACCGCGGAAUCGCAUGCCCUUUACUGGGCGUGUCGGGGAAGCGGUACUUUUACUGUGAAAAAAUUAGAGUGCUCUAAGCAGGCCUAUGCUCGAAUACAUUAGCAUGGAAUAAUAGAAUAGGACAGGCGUUCUAUUUUGUUGGUUUCUAGGACGUCUGUAAUGAUUAACAGAAACAAUCGGGGGCGUCAGUAUUGCAUCGUCAGAGGUGAAAUUCUUAGAUCGACGCAAGACUAACUACUGCGAAAGCAUUCGCCAAGGGUGUUUUCAUUAAUCAGGAACGAAAGUUAGGGGAUCGAAGACGAUCAGAUACCGUCGUAGUCUUAACCAUAAACUAUGCCGACUAGGGAUCGGGCGGUGUUAAUUUUUGACCCGCUCGGCACCUUACGAGAAAUCUUAAGUGCUUGGGCUCCAGGGGGAAUAUGGUCGCAAG